GGCAGACUGCCUUAAGAACAGAAUGCUCUGUCUAUUUCAAAAUGGUUCUUUGUCUGCUCCCCCUACUGGAAGCAUGAGAUUCUUCUCACAUUUUCUCUGUGAGGACCUGGUGGAGCCCCUGGAGUAAAACUAAGUAUGCUUCUCUAAGAGUGGGCUCCCCUGGAAUUCUCAACACUCAAACUUAUCCACACGGAGCCUCCGGCAAUUUACCAAUUAUGGCUCAGGGUUUUCUACCCAAAUACUGGUUCCUGUGGAGAUUUCUGCUCAUGGGUUACUACUCUGAUACAUGAGUCUGCUGUAAUUCUGAGAUGAAAAUGACAUAUGCCACCCACUAAAAGCUGAAGCUCAAUCUGGGUCCAGCUGCAGAGGAGCAGUCCUCUCUUCAAUUCCCAACAGUCCUGCCCAUCAUAACUACACUCAGGAGUUCCCAUCUGACAAAUAAGUUGUCCUUAUCUUCCCUUGCAGUGUCCCUGAAUGGUGUGUGAUGUACCUUCUGAUGCAGUCUGCAUUUCUGCACUGCUUUUCUUUGCUCUCUUUGCCUUCUUUUGUUCUGUUGAAUAAAGGAGAUUGAGAAUAUGAACUUUCUGUUAGAUUGCCUUGCUGACCAUGUGCUGGUUUAGAAACAUUCUCAUCCCACAAACAUUCCUCAUCUUUGAGGAACUGCCCCUCUCCACACCGACAACUCACCAUGCUCCACACCCUACUCUGUCAGUCAGUGAUUCUGGAGGACACUCUGGGUGGACGAUCACCAAUGUUGUAUAAG
rnacentral:lncRNA from 1 species